rnacentral:rRNA from 1 species
GAUGAACGCUGGCGGCGCGCCUAAUACAUGCAAGUCGAGCGAACGGACGAGAAGCUUGCUUCUCUGAUGUUAGCGGCGGACGGGUGAGUAACACGUGGAUAACCUACCUAUAAGACUGGGAUAACUUCGGGAAACCGGAGCUAAUACCGGAUAAUAUUUUGAACCGCAUGGUUCAAAAGUGAAAGACGGUCUUGCUGUCACUUAUAGAUGGAUCCGCGCUGCAUUAGCUAGUUGGUAAGGUAACGGCUUACCAAGGCAACGAUGCAUAGCCGACCUGAGAGGGUGAUCGGCCACACUGGAACUGAGACACGGUCCAGACUCCUACGGGAGGCAGCAGUAGGGAAUCUUCCGCAAUGGGCGAAAGCCUGACGGAGCAACGCCGCGUGAGUGAUGAAGGUCUUCGGAUCGUAAAACUCUGUUAUUAGGGAAGAACAUAUGUGUAAGUAACUGUGCACAUCUUGACGGUACCUAAUCAGAAGGCCACGGCUAACUACGUG